CAUGCUUGGACUCAAUGUUUAAGCUUUGGAAUGAGAACAAUUUAAAUCCCUUAUCGAGGAACAAUUGGAGGGCAAGUCUGGUGCCAGCAGCCGCGGUAAUUCCAGCUCCAAUAGCGUAUAUUAAAGUUGUUGCAGUUAAAAAGCUCGUAGUUGGAUUUCUGGUGAGAUAUCUUUAGCCUGACCGGAAGGUCUUGUUUGAUGAUUAUUUUGCCCUUCUUGUCAUGAACCUGUUGAUCUUCAUUGGUCGAUAGUGGACUGGCAUCUUUUACUGUGAAAAAAUUAGAGUGUUCAAGGCAGGCAUCGCCGUUGAAUACAUUAGCAUGGAAUAAUAAGAUAGGACUUUGGUGGUCUAUUUUUGUUGGUUUGCACGCCAAAGUAAUGAUUAAUAGGGAUAGUUGGGGGCAUUCGUAUUCUAUUGCUAGAGGUGAAAUUCUUAAAUUUAUGGGAAAGACGAACUACUGCGAAAGCAUUUACCAAGGAUGUUUUCAUUAAUCAAGAACGAAAGUUAGGGGAUCGAAGAUGAUUAGAUACCAUCGUAGUCUUAACCGUAAACUAUGCCGACUUGC
rnacentral:rRNA from 1 species